CACGUAGGGCGCAAGCGUUGUCCGGAAUUAUUGGGCGUAAAGAGCUCGUAGGCGGUCUGUUGCGUCCGCUGUGAAAACUCGGGGCUUAACCCCGAGCCUGCAGUGGAUACGGGCAGACUAGAGGUAGGUAGGGGAGAAUGGAAUUCCCGGUGUAGCGGUGAAAUGCGCAGAUAUCGGGAGGAACACCGGUGGCGAAGGCAGCACUCUGGGCCGGUACUGACGCUGAGGAGCGAAAGCGUGGGGAGCGAACAGG
rnacentral:rRNA from 1 species